UACGAAGGGGGCUAGCGUUGCUCGGAAUUACUGGGCGUAAAGCGCACGUAGGCGGAUUGUUAAGUCGGGGGUGAAAUCCUGGAGCUCAACUCCAGAACUGCCUUUGAUACUGAAGAUCUUGAGUUCGGGAGAGGUGAGUGGAACUGCGAGUGUAGAGGUGAAAUUCGUAGAUAUUCGCAAGAACACCAGUGGCGAAGGCGGACCUCACGUGGCCCGAUACCUGACGCUGAGGCACGAAAGCGUGGGGAGCAAACAGG
rnacentral:rRNA from 1 species